rnacentral:rRNA from 1 species
AUUGAACGCUGGCGGCAUGCCUUACACAUGCAAGUCGAACGGCAGCACGGGAGCAAUCCUGGUGGCGAGUGGCGAACGGGUGAGUAAUACAUCGGAACGUGCCCAGUAGUGGGGGAUAACCCGGCGAAAGCCGGACUAAUACCGCAUACGACCUACGGGUGAAAGCGGGGGAUCGCAAGACCUCGCGCUAUCGGAGCGGCCGAUGUCAGAUUAGCUAGUUGGUGGGGUAAAGGCCUGCCAAGGCGACGAUCUGUAGCUGGUCUGAGAGGACGACCAGCCACACUGGGACUGAGACACGGCCCAGACUCCUACGGGAGGCAGCAGUGGGGAAUUUUGGACAAUGGGCGCAAGCCUGAUCCAGCCAUGCCGCGUGCGGGAAGAAGGCCUUCGGGUUGUAAACCGCUUUUGUCAGGGAAGAAACGCUCCGGGCUAAUACCACGGAGUAAUGACGGUACCUGAAGAAUAAGCACCGGCUAACUACGUG